rnacentral:rRNA from 1 species
CGUACAGGUCUCCGUAGGUGAACCUGCGGAGGNAUCAUUACAAGAACGCCCGGGCUUCGGCCUGGNUAUUCAUAACCCUUUGUUGUCCGGCUCUGUUGCCUCCGGGGCGACCCUGCCUUCGGGCGGGGGCUCCGGGUGGACACUUCAAACUCUUGCGUAACUUUGCAGUCUGAGUAAACUUAAUUAAUAAAUUAAAACUUUUAACAACGGAUCUCUUGGUUCUGGCAUCGAUGAAGAACGCAGCGAAAUGCGAUAAGUAAUGUGAAUUGCAGAAUUCAGUGAAUCAUCGAAUCUUUGAACGCACAUUGCGCCCCCUGGUAUUCCGGGGGGCAUGCCUGUUCGAGCGUCAUUUCACCACUCAAGCCUCGCUUGGUAUUGGGCAACGCGGUCCGCCGCGUGCCUCAAAUCGUCCGGCUGGGUCUUCUGUCCCCUAAGCGUUGUGGAAACUAUUCGCUAAAGGGUGUUCGGGAGGCUACGCCGUAAAACAACCCCAUUUCUAAGGUUGACCUCGGAUCAGGUAGGGAUACCCGCUGAACUUAAGCAUAUCA